rnacentral:rRNA from 1 species
UACGGGGGGGAGCAAGCGUUGUUCGGAUUUACUGGGCGUAAAGGGCGCGUAGGCGGCCUGUGCAAGUCAGUUGUGAAAUCUCCGAGCUUAACUCGGAACGGUCAACUGAUACUGCUCGGCUAGAGUGCGGAAGGGGCAACUGGAAUUCUUGGUGUAGCGGUGAAAUGCGUAGAUAUCAAGAGGAACACCUGCGGCGAAGGCGGGUUGCUGGGCCGACACUGACGCUGAGGCGCGAAAGCUAGGGGAGCGAACGGG